GCAGAAGGUGGAGAUGACAUACUUGCAGGAUGAGAACAAAGCACAAGCAGCUAAACUGAGAGAAUUGGAGGGACAGAAGACUCAGGUGGACGAGAUGAAGACACAGCUUCAAGCACAAGCAGCAAAACUGAGAGAACUGGAGGGACAGAAGACUCAGGUGGACAGUCUGAAGACACAG